UACGUAGGGUGCGAGCGUUAAUCGGAAUUACUGGGCGUAAAGCGUGCGCAGGCGGUUUUGUAAGCCAGAUGUGAAAUCCCCGGGGCUUAACCUGGGAAUGGCAUUUGGGACUGCAAGGCUUGAGUGUGUCAGAGGGGGGUAGAAUUCCAGCGUGUAGCAGUGAAAUGCGUAGAGAUGUGGAGGAAUACCGAUGGCGAAGGCAGCCCCCUGGGAUAACGACUGACGCUCAUGCACGAAAGCGUGGGGAGCAAACAGG
rnacentral:rRNA from 1 species